GGAUCUGUUACUGAAUGAGUUUAAUUAAGAACUUAAUUGAAUACUAAUGAUCAUGGCUUGACUGAGAGUAUCGUGAAAUCUGGCACUGGCUCUAGGCACAUAGCUAAAUUAUCGGGUACAAUUACCCCCAAGACUCGAUAGCAUGAAACUGAUAAGACAUGACACUUCUUGACAUAUGAUCAAAAUCAGCAAUUCAUAGUACAAUCAUUGGGGAUUUUUCAUGAAGAA
rnacentral:lncRNA from 1 species